CGGUGGGCCGCCGGUCAGCGCCGGGAGCUGCCGGGCCGGCCGCACCGCCGCCAACUUCUGGGGAGAGCGAGCCCAGCGCGGAGCCGAAGCCGGGAGCGCCCCGCCAGCUCCUACUCCAAAUGAUGGCAAGAAAAAGGGGAAAGAAGAGCAGGAACAGGAGCUGUGGAAACACAGACAUUAUGUACUCCACCAAGUAGAUCCCCUUCUCUCACUUGUGUUGUUUUAGCACUGUGGGUGAGCCCCCACUCUCAGGUUUUUUUCAAGUGAACUUUAUAAAGAAAUCUUACUAAUUUUAAACAUCCUUAGUGCUCUUAUUGAGAACAUGCAUGUCCACAAGAGGAAAGGCUUUUUCCACAACUGCAAUUCCGAUAUAUUCAAAGCUGGUUUAAGAAAUACUAAGUGAACUCAGCAUCCAUAACCAGAGUGUUACACUUCUGCAAUUCAUUAGUCCUCAAGGUUCCAUUCCGUAAUUAAAAUACUUUGCAGUUUAAGGCUUUACAAUAAAGAAUGUGCAGUCCUCAGCAGUGUUUCCACUGCCAGUCUAUGGAAAACAUAUGCAUGGAAAAUCUGUGCAGUGCAUGCGUGCAGCCAUCCUUGGAUAGCUUCAGCGAACAUUCAACGCUGUCGGUGAGUUUGAGAAUUAGAAAAAACCAUCGACCGUUGACUGUACCUUGAGGUUUAUCACAAACCCUCUGUUAAAUGGAAAGCCUGAACCUUCAGAGAUUUCACAUGUGGUUGCCAUUAGCAGGUCAUGAUUUACAGAUUAUAUUAAGAGCUACAGAGGUUGAGUUUUUCCAGUUCUACUUUCUCUAAAAGUGAAUUGGUGUAUAAGAAAUGCUUGUUUUCUC